rnacentral:rRNA from 1 species
UAGGGAAUCUUCCGCAAUGGGCGAAAGCCUGACGGAGCAACGCCGCGUGAGUGAUGAAGGUCUUCGGAUCGUAAAACUCUGUUAUUAGGGAAGAACAAAUGUGUAAGUAACUAUGCACGUCUUGACGGUACCUAAUCAGAAAGCCACGGCUAACUCCGUGCCAGCAGCCGCGGUAAUACGUAGGUGGCAAGCGUUAUCCGGAAUUAUUGGGCGUAAAGCGCGCGUAGGCGGUUUUUUAAGUCUGAUGUGAAAGCCCACGGCUCAACCGUGGAGGGUCAUUGGAAACUGGAAAACUUGAGUGCAGAAGAGGAAAGUGGAAUUCCAGGUGGAGCGGUGAAAUGCGCAGAGAUAUGGAGGAACACCAGUGGCGAAGGCGACUUUCUGGGCUGUAACUGACGCUGAUGUGCGAAAGCGUGGGGAUCAAACAGG